GCGGUCGGUGUUCGAGUGGCCUCCCUUGAUGUGCUCGUCGUGCCAAAAGGGACGGCGGAAACUCAGGAACACCUUGGUGGCAGGCCCCGCCCCUCACCGGAGCCGGUCGCUGAGGCAGCUGUGGGCCCGCAAGGCCUCUGCAAAACUAAGGUAGAAGAAGCCAUCCUCGGACAUUACGUCUCCCAGGAGUUGCGCGGCGGCCUGGCUCAGGCUCCCCUCCCCGAGGAGCCCAGCGUCUCGAGAUCUUUGAGGGCCUGCAGUGGAACAAGCAGAUGGCGCUGAGCUGUGGGGGCAGGAUCGCAGAGGCUCCCUGAACUAGGAAGUAUCAAGGCACAGAAAUGGCCCACCCUUGUCCAGGACGGGAGAUGGAUGAUUAGAAGCUCCCAGAGGAGUACGAGUCUGGUCUUCCCUGAGGGCAUCAGGGAAGGCUUCCUGGAGGGGGGAACAUGGGAGCUGGUUCUUGAGGGAUGAGCAGGGUUCCCUGGGUGGGAAAGGGAAAGGGUCAUACGAGCAUGGCAGGCAGCAGGACAAGGGCAUGCGAGAAUCGACAUUGGGAGUCUAGAGCCAUGCGUGUUUAGGCCACCAUGAGGGCUUUGUGGGGGUAACAAAAACUUCUUGGAGGAGAGAAGAUAAGGCUAAAGGGGUGGGAGAGACCAGACCACCCAGGGCUUGAACCUGAAGCUGAGGCACUGGGAGCCACAGUGGGUGGAGGGCUGUGAGCAGGGGAGGGGAAGUGUGAGGAUCCAAGGAAGAGGAUGAGGCCUGAAUUGGGGCUGAGGCUGUGGGGACAGAGAGGUGGGAACAUUGCAAGGGUCAGAGGGCAGGAAGGAUUCAGCUGGGGACUGAUGGUGGGAGGCGAGGUAGACAGUGAGGAUGGCAGCUGGGUGUCUGCCUUGUGACUGGGGGUUGACAGGGCCAUUGUGAGAUGGGGGAACCCGGGAGUAUGAGUGGAUUUAGGGGAAGGUACUGAGCUCAGUGGGAGCUGGAGGGUCCUCAGGGUGGCCGAGGGGAGACAGAUGUAGGUGUGGGUCUCAGGAGAUACAUCUACCUACAGACCAAAGU